GAUGAACGCUGGUGGCGUGCUUAACACAUGCAAGUCGAACGGAAAGGCUCCUGCUUGCAGGGGUACUCGAGUGGCGAACGGGUGAGUAACACGUGGGUGAUCUGCCCUGCACUUCGGGAUAAGCCUGGGAAACUGGGUCUAAUACCGGAUAGGACGAUGGUUUGGAUGCCAUUGUGGAAAGUUUUUUCGGUGUGGGAUGAGCUCGCGGCCUAUCAGCUUGUUGGUGGGGUAAUGGCCUACCAAGGCGUCGACGGGUAGCCGGCCUGAGAGGGUGUACGGCCACAUUGGGACUGAGAUACGGCCCAGACUCCUACGGGAGGCAGCAGUGGGGAAUAUUGCACAAUGGGCGCAAGCCUGAUGCAGCGACGCCGCGUGGGGGAUGACGGCCUUCGGGUUGUAAACUCCUUUCGCUAGGGACGAAGCGCAAGUGACGGUACCUGGAGAAGAAGCACCGGCUAACUACGUG
rnacentral:rRNA from 1 species